rnacentral:rRNA from 1 species
AUACGGAGGGAGCAAGCGUUAUUCGGAAUCACUGGGCGUAAAGGACGCGUAGGCGGGUUUGUAAGCCAGGUGUGAAAUCCUACAGCUCAACUGUAGAACUGCACUUGAAACUACAGACCUAGAGUAUGGAAGGGGCAGAUGGAAUUAGUGGUGUAGGGGUAAAAUCCGUAGAUAUCACUAGGAAUACCGAAAGCGAAGGCGAUCUGCUGGGACAUUACUGACGCUGAGGCGUGAAAGCGUGGGGAGCAAACAGGAUUAGAAACCCCAGUAGUCC